rnacentral:rRNA from 1 species
GCGAACGCUGGCGGCAGGCUUAACACAUGCAAGUCGAGCGGGCACUUCGGUGUCAGCGGCAGACGGGUGAGUAACACAUGGGAACGUACCCUUUGGUUCGGAAUAACGCUGGGAAACUAGCGCUAAUACCGGAUACGCCCUUUUGGGGAAAGGCUUGCUGCCGAAGGAUCGGCCCGCGUCUGAUUAGCUAGUUGGUGGGGUAAUGGCCUACCAGGGCGACGAUCAGUAGCUGGUCUGAGAGGAUGAUCAGCCACACUGGGACUGAGACACGGCCCAGACUCCUACGGGAGGCAGCAGUGGGGAAUAUUGGACAAUGGGCGCAAGCCUGAUCCAGCCAUGCCGCGUGAGUGAUGAAGGCCUUAGGGUUGUAAAGCUCUUUUGUCCGGGACGAUAAUGACGGUACCGGAAGAAUAAGCCCCGGCUAACUUCGUG